rnacentral:rRNA from 1 species
GAUGAACGCUGACAGAAUGCUUAACACAUGCAAGUCAACUUGAACUUCGGUUUGGGUGGCGGACGGGUGAGUCACGCGUAAAGAGCUUGCCUCACAGCUAGGGACAACAUUUGGAAACGAAUGCUAAUACCUGAUAUUAUGAUUUUAGGGCAUCCUAGAAUUAUGAAAGCUAUAUGCGCUGUGAGAGAGCUUUGCGUCCCAUUAGCUAGUUGGAGAGGUAACGGCUCACCAAGGCGAUGAUGGGUAGCCGGCCUGAGAGGGUGAACGGCCACAAGGGGACUGAGACACGGCCCUUACUCCUACGGGAGGCAACAGUGGGGAAUAUUGGACAAUGGACCAAGAGUCUGAUCCAGCAAUUCUGUGUGCACGAUGAAGUUUUUCGGAAUGUAAAGUGCUUUCAGUUGGGAAGAAAAAAAUGACGGUACCAACAGAAGAAGUGACGGCUAAAUACGUG